UCUGCUCAAUGUUUAUUAAUAAAUAGCUGCAUCAUAUGUACUAAGGUAGCGUAAUAAUUUGCCUUUUAAUUGAAGGAUAGAAUGAAAGAACCCACAAAAAAAAUGCUGUCUCUAUUAUUAAAUAUAUAAAUUAAUCUAUAAGUGAAAAAGCUUAUAUAAAAUAAAUAGACAAGAAGACCCUGUUGAGCUUUUUCUAAUAAUUAAUAAUUAGAUUUUGUUGGGGCAACAUUUAUUACAAAAAUCAAUUUUUUUAUUAUAGAAUAUAUUCAUCAAAUUUAUCUUAUUAUAUAAAAUUUUAAUAAGUUACCACAGGGAUAACAGGCUAAUUUUUUUAUAGAGUUCAAAUUAACAAAAAAGAUUGGCACCUCGAUGUUGGCUUAAAGUUUCAUUUAAAAGCAAUAAUUUAAAUUGUUGGUUUG
rnacentral:rRNA from 2 species